rnacentral:rRNA from 1 species
AGAGAGAGACAUGCGCGCAUAUCAAUAAGCGGAGGAAAAGAAACUAACUAGGAUUCCCCUCAGUAACGGCGAGUGAAGCGGGAAGAGCUCAAAUUUGAAAUCUUCAAGGGUUCUACCUUGACGAAUUGUAGUUUAAAGAAGUGUUUUCUGUUGAAGGUUUUGGUAAAAGUUCUUUGGAAUAGGACAUCAUAGAGGGUGAGAAUCCCGUAUUUGACCAUUAUUUCCAGCUUUGUGAUACACUUUCAAAGAGUCGGAUUGUUUGGGAAUGCAGUCCAAAAUGGGUGGUAAAUUUCAUCUAAAGCUAAAUACUGGCGAGAGACCGAUAGCGAACAAGGUACCGUGAGGGAAAGAUGAAAAGAACUUUGAAAAGAGAGUUAAACAGUACGUGAAAUUGUCAAAAGGGAAGCGUUUGACACCAGUGUUGUUUUUCUCGAAAAUCAAUUAAAAAGGCAGGAUUUUGUGUCGUAUUGACUUUAAUCAGCUUCUGCACUUCAUUUUCUUGUCUUUUUUUAAUGCACUUUUCGUUUAACAAGUCAACAUCAGUUUCUUUUGUUGUAAAAGGGUCAUUGGAAGGUGGCUUUCUUUUCGGAGAAAGUGUUUAUAGCCUUUGCCUCUGCAAUCGGAGAGAUUGAGGUCUGCAGCGUAGAUCCUUCGGGGUUAGAUACAUUUGUGCUAAGUUAUAGCCUUUUCAUAGACAACUUGUUGACUAUGAUCAGUCAUGUAGCUUACUCGCUUAUGCUAUUUUACCUACGCUUAGGAUGUUGAUGUGAUACUGCGAGCA